GCUAGCAGCUAGGCGAGCAUUAUAAUGUGUUACAAAGUGACACACAUUCGUCACGGAAGUAACGGCUGGACUACAGUAGAGCUGUUUGUGAGCAGUGUUUUCUGUUGGAGAUGGUAACUCCCUUUGGGGGGGGACUUUGGGCUUUUUCACUUUGUAAACCUAUAACAUGCACAAAAAGAUAUGUAACACAAUAAAGGAAAGGGGGAAAGCCAAAAAGGAUAAUGUGAGCACUUUAAAUCGUGAGGCGCAUACUUAUCCAAUAUGGGCCUAAUUCCUGGGGAUGCUCAACCACUAAACUAAACGUUUACCGUUGACAGGAGAGGAAGGGGUAAACUGAGACACAUUGUGUGUUUGUAUAAGUCCUGGUUCCCCCGCAUAUCUCCCGCAUGCUACUUCUCUUGGAUUACCAAGGUGUGUCGGCCUUUGCAAACAUUCUUGUAAGGUGUCUUUGUGUUCUAGUCCUUUUUAUUGUGAAACUUUGAAGAAGUUGCCUUUUUUUUUUUUACAGCCCAUAAACUAUACAGACUUAGGGACAGCCAAUUGUGUUGGCUUUCUAUGUCAUCAGCUCACUUGCAAAGCAAACAGGGAUUUAGAGUUGCUGGCUUCGGCAGAGAUAUAUGCAUUUUUCUGGUCACUGAGGGAGUUUGUGCGCUGUAGGGUGUGAAUGUUCACAGUGGAUCAACUGACUGGACAACUUUAUGGGUGUUAUUUUCAUGGCGAUCAGCCAGGUUGUAAACAAACCAACCGUUAUCCAUAUUAUUUAAACCACAUGUUCGGAGGCAAACUUUAAAGUGAGUGCACCUGGAAUACCUAAAAGCAGGUAUUCCCCAAAGGGACCUAUCCUUUAAAACCUGUCUUUAGCAUCUUUCUCUGAUAGUAUAUUAAUACAGCCAAAACUACAGAUACAAAAUGUAAGUGGUUUAAGUAAUGUGUUUUUCUUCCUCAACGUUUCCCCAGUUAAGGACACACUGUUGCAGAUACUUGAUAAUCAAGAAGAACGAGGAGAACCAAAAACAGACCUGGACUCUUUAGGAUCUUUUUCUGAGGCUCCAAAGUACUCUUAGCUAAGCGUAGAUUGUAGUAUUAAGACAUUCCCAGCAUUACGAUGACAAUCUUUUGAACUCAAUGCUGAAAGAAAAAAAAAGAAAAUCUUGUGCAAGGUUGGUCUCCAUGCUGCUCCUGUCGCUGUUUCUACACGGACAGGAGGUAAAAAAAGGAAAAACGGCUUGGCUUUCUUUACGACAAAGGAUCGGGAGCAGAUGGACACAUGUUUUCUGUGAAUGAACAAGCUAAUGGAAGCCCUGAACAACUGGUUUGCCUAAAGGCUCUGGAGGGGGGGACGGGACAUGUGCUGGACUCUUAUUGUGUAAAAUUACUGUACAUUUUUUCUCUCAUGCUCUUUAUGUGCUCUCAAGUGGAAUUGGGUGGGAGUCUGUUUGUUUCCAAGCAAACAUAAGAGUGUGUGUGUGCGUGUGUGUCUGCGUGCAUGCAUGUGUGUAACUGCAAGAUUGUGUGUGUGUGUGCAUGCGUGUGUGCGUCUGUGCGUGUGCAUGGGAGUGCCUAUGCGUGCACACUGUCUGCGUGUGCAUGCACGGGAGUACGUGUAUGCGUGUGUCUGUCUGUGCGUGUGCAUGGGAGUGAUUGUAUGUAAGAUUGUGUGUGCAUGGGAGUGCGUGUGUGUGAGUGAGUGAGUAAGUGCAUGUGUGUGUGUGCCUGUGCAUGAAAGUGCGUGUGUGUGCGCAUGCAUGUGUGUGUCUGUGCGUGUGCAUGGGAGGGAGGGAGAGUGUUUAAGAUUGUGCGCGUCUGCAAGAUUGUGUGUGCCUGUGCAUGUGUGUGUUCGUGCGUGUGUGUGCACGUGUGAGUACGAGCAUAUGGAUGCGUGUGAGGGAGAGAAAACACGACAUACAAAUUCUUUGUGUCAACUUAUAGAGACUUCAAAGAUUAGAGUUCAAAUAAAAUUGCUGACAUCUCUAUCA